CCGCACUGCUUACGCGCGCCACCUGGCGUUCAAAAAUAAAACUGCAUGACAAUGUCUGCCACGUGCAGGUCGCUGGCCGCACUGCUUACGCGCGCCACCUAGUGUACAGAAAUAGAGCUGCAUGUUCAGGGCGUUUUGUUUUCCGCGAAUCUGACACUUUUUCUUCAUCUUUCUUUAUUCAAGGCAAACAGUUGGACGAGUCGCCACUGGUCUUCAACAUCGAACUGUUGGAUAUACUGGACUCACCCCCCGCUCCUGACGCAUUUGCGGAGAUCGAUAAGGAUGGCGAUAAGCUGCUUUCUGUUGUGGAGGUUCAAGACUACGUGAAGACGCGCUCGUGGCGGACGGUCUUGAGAUCCCCGACGGGAAGAACAUGACUGAGGUAUUGUGGGAAAUCUUCCAGCACGAGGACCGAGAUCGCGACGGCUUCAUCUCCCACUCGGAGUUUUCCGGCCCGAAAACGCACGAAGAACUUUAACGACCAUUCCCGAAGCGUCCCGAAUCAUGUUUCCCGACCGGCUUCACGGACUUUGACGAAAACUGCCGAACUGGUUUACGACUAGCGACGAGCGUCAGCGGAAACUGACGAGUUCGUUUGUGAAUCGUUUCAGAGUCAGGCAGCAGCAAGCACCACGCUAGAUCAUCUUUAUCCGCGGGGUAACCAAUAUCCGUUGUUUUUCGAGCCGACGGGUGAAGUUUUAAACUGCAAUGUACUGAAAACAAUGCAAUUUGAAACCAGCGUCCGUCGACGUGAUAUCCCCAAAUACCCAGUUUUUUAAAGCAACGGAUAUAGGUUACCCAACGGAUAAAGGUGAAUUGGCGUUAAAUUUUAAGGAUGACAUCGUAUUGAACUAAGACGCAAACAUGUGCCUACUGACGGCAUGUUUGAUAUUUUGCCAUAGAACUCAUA